GAUGAACGCUAGCUACAGGCUUAACACAUGCAAGUCGAGGGGUAACGAGAGGAAAGCUUGCUUUCCUUGUCGACGACCGGCGCACGGGUGAGUAACGCGUAUCCAACCUGCCCCCAACUAGGGAAUAACCUUGCGAAAGUAAGACUAAUACCCUAUAAUUUCCUCAGAUGACAUCUGACGAGGAAUAAAGAUUUAUCGGCUGUGGAUGGGGAUGCGUCUGAUUAGCUUGUUGGCGGGGUAACGGCCCACCAAGGCAACGAUCAGUAGGGGUUCUGAGAGGAACGUCGCCCAAAUUAGAACUGGGACACGGUCCAAACUCCUACGGGAGGAAGCAGUGAGGAAUAUUGGUCAAUGGGCGUAAGCCUGAACCAGCCAAGUAGCGUGCAGGAUGACGGCCCUAUGGGUUGUAAACUGCUUUUAUACAGGAAUAAAGUUAGCCACGUGUGGUUAUUUGUAGGUACUGUAUGAAUAAGGACCGGCUAAUUCCGUGCCAGCCGCCGCAGUAA
rnacentral:rRNA from 1 species